UAUCUUGUGCUUUAUAAUCACUGACCAUAUAUGUUGUUUUAAAUGUUAUGCAGGUCCAGGGAUGAAUUGAAUGAUGAUGAGAACAGCAAUUUCACUUUGAAUGGAAUCACCAUCAGAUUUAUAAUGCUGAUUUUAUGAAGUGGAACUAUGCAAAGUAGUUGGAAGUGAACAGUGCACAGAAAAUGCACCAGGAAUUAUUCCGGCCAGGGAAAGAUGUCUAUAUUUCUACAAAAAGAAAGUCUGUUACUUGAGACUGCACUGGAACAACAAUAUUUUUUAGCAAUAUAGAAGCAAGACUGACUGGAUGAUGGUUGCAUUCUCUUGCCAAGGUGCUGAUGGCCCAAUACUGCUACAGAAUAAGUUCAGAGAAGGUGCUAAUGUUGAAAUGUGUAUUUCCACUGUUGUGUUGAAACUAUCUCAGAAAACAUCCAGAGAAUCCUUUAUUACAAUUCUUCUCAUUGACUGAAGAAAUUAAUUUCCCUGCAUCUAAUAAAACUCUGCAUUAUUUUCAGGCCAGAUAUGUUCUGAGUAUUAUGCUUAAAACUUCUGAAGAAGAACUUUUCCUUGGGAUCAAAUCUCUUUGCCAGACAAACAAAAGGAAUUCCUAGUACUGCGUAUGCAUUAACUGUUACCUCAUGGCUCUGUCCAUAAAAAAUAAUUAACGUUGUACUGUACAAUCAAAUAUUGUUAAUAUGUUCUCAUUAGUCGUGUAGCUGUAGUGGAUUUUCCUUCACUGCUGGUUGAGAAUAAGAAUGUGCUGCAUUGGCUGGAAUAAAUGUUGACAUCUGUAGGAUCUGUGGAAGAAUACAAAUAUGCAUCAUUGAAAUUUAGAUGCAUGGAGUUGAAUAUCAUGCAAAACAAAACUCGUACUGAGGAAUUGAAAUGAGAUUGAAAGAAAUUCUCAAGUCAGAGUUGAGAUUACCAAACGAGUUUUUGCCCACUUCAGUUUUCUUUGCAGCAUGUGCAGAAAUAAAUAAUUGAAACUUUUGCAAGGGAGGUUUUUUUCAAAGUUAUAUUUAAAGACUUCGUUUAGUGAGAUACAGCAUUAUGGAAAUUAUUUGUGGGUAAAUAAAUAAAGAGAAAAAAAUGAGAGCUGUGCAGCUUUCUUUAUAAUAAGUUAUGAAGAAAACAGUAGCAUUUCCCAUCUGUUUUGAAGUAUUUCUUUUUCCAUGAGAUUACCUAUUUAUGAAACCAAAAAUGGGCAGGUAUAGGAGAAGAGAGGAAGAUUUUCCACUGAAGUUCAGGAUGUCUGAUCCCAAAUAUAGACAGUGCAAUGUGGAUUUCUUGAAGCUGACCUCCCAGUUAAGUUGAAGAAUCUAAGUUUUAAGUAGGCAUUUUGCUGAAUAUAAAUAAUAGAUGUGAUUCUGUGAUGGGUUAUUUAAGUUUGUUAUAUGUAGGUACAGUGUGCAGAAAAUUAUUUAUUAUUGGCUGACUGUAUUAACUGUUGCAUUGGUUUCAAGCUCUGCCACUGCCAAAGAAGCUGAUUGUGUUCUCUGGGAAAAAAUGAAACAUAGGGAAGGUCUAAGGGAGCAAAGUAUGUUAGUAUGGAUGGAAGAACCUGUUCAGUAUUUGCUGUAAAAAUUUCCUUGCUGUACAAGCUGAUGCAAGGAGGAAGGUGGUGAAGGUUUUCUAAGAAGUGUCAAGCUAUCAUUAGAGAAAAAACCUUUGAAUUUUCAA